UUUGCAAGGCUAAGUAAUCAAACUCGAAACAGCAAUGGAACCAGAGCCUCUGAAGGUGGCCCCUUGUGCUGGCAACCCUUAGACAGGCCUCACAGGGAGCCCUGACUGCUGUUUCCCCAAACAGCAUACCCCGUCAGUAGAAAGCACUUAGGAUUGAUUUUCGGGCCCACUUGGUGGCACGUGCCUGUAAUCCCAGCACUUUGGGAGGGCAGGAUGGGUGGAUCACUUGAGGUCGGGAGUCUGAGACCAGCCUGACCAACAUGGCAAAACCUCGUCUCUACUAAAAAUACAAAAAUUAGCCAGGCUAGCCAGGCAUGGUGGCACAUGCCUGUAAUCCCAGCUACUUUGGAGACUGAGGUAGGAGA
rnacentral:lncRNA from 1 species